GUACGGGGGGGCAAGCGUUGUUCGGAAUUACUGGGCGUAAAGGGCUCGUAGGCGGCCAACUCAGUCGGACGUGAAAUCCCUCGGCUUAACCGGGGAACUGCGUCCGAUACUGGAUGGCUUGAGUGUGGGAGAGGGAUGCGGAAUUCCAGGUGUAGCGGUGAAAUGCGUAGAUAUCUGGAGGAACACCGGUGGCGAAGGCGGCAUCCUGGACUACUACUGACGCUGAGGAGCGAAAGCCAGGGGAGCAAAACGGGG
rnacentral:rRNA from 1 species